GAUGAACGCUGGCGGCGUGCCUAAUACAUGCAAGUCGAGCGAACAGACGAGGUGCUUGUUCCUCCUACGUUAGCGGCGGACGGGUGAGUAACACGUGGAUAACCUACCUAUAAGAGUGGGAUAACUUCGGGAAACCGGAGCUAAUACCGGAUAAUAUAUUGAACCGCAUGGUUCAAGAGUGAAAGACGCUUUUGCUGCACCUUAUAAUUAUCUCCGCUCCGCAUUACCUAGUUGGUAAGGUAACGGCUUCCCAGGGCAAGGUACCGAGGCCGACCUGAGAGGGUGACCGGCAAAACUGGAACUGGGCAACGGCCCAGCCUCCUACGGGAGCCACAAGAAGGGAUCUUUCCGCAAUGGGCGAAAGCCUGCCGGAGCACCGCCGGGUGGGUGAGGAAGGUCUUCGGAUCUUAAACCCCUGUUAUUAGGGAAGAACAAAUGUGUAAGUAACUGUGCACGUCUUGACGGUACCUACUCAGAAAGCCACGGCUAACUACGUG
rnacentral:rRNA from 1 species